GGAAUUUUGCGCAAUGGGCGAAAGCCUGACGCAGCAACGCCGCGUGGAGGACGAAGGCUUUCGAUUCGUAAACUCCUGUCCUCGGGGACGAAUUCAUGACGGUACCCGGGGAGGAAGCCCCGGCCAACUCCGUGCCAGCAGCCGCAGUAAUACGGGGGGGGCGAGCGUUGUUCGGAAUUACUGUGCGUAAAGGGGGCGUAGGCGGCGUGAGAAGUUCUGGGUGAAAGUCCUCGGCUCAACCGGGGAAUUGCCUGGAAAACCAUCGGGCUGGAGUGCUGGAGAGGCCGGCGGAAUUCCUGGUGUAGCGGUGAAAUGCGUAGAUAUCAGGAGGAACACCCGAGGCGAAGGCGGCCGGCUGGACAGACACUGACGCUGAGGCGCGAAAGCCAGGGGAGCAAAC
rnacentral:rRNA from 1 species